rnacentral:rRNA from 1 species
GACGAACGCUGGCGGCGUGCUUAACACAUGCAAGUCGAACGGAAAGGCCCUGCUUUUGUGGGGUGCUCGAGUGGCGAACGGGUGAGUAACACGGGAGUAACCUGCCCUUGACGUUGGGAUAACUUCAGGAAACUGGGGCUAAUACCGGAUAGGAGCUCCUGCUGCAUGGUGGGGGUUGGAAAGUUUCGGCGGUUGGGGAUGGACUCGCGGCUUAUCAGCUUGUUGGUGGGGUAGUGGCUUACCAAGGCUUUGACGGGUAGCCGGCCUGGGAGGGUGACCGGCCCCAUUGGGACUGGGGUACGGCCCAGACGCAUACGGGAGGCAGCAGCGGGGACUAUUGCACAAUGGGCGGAAGCUUGAGGCAGCAACGCCGCGUGCGGGAGGACGGCAUUCGGGUUGUAAACCGCUUUCGCCUGUGACGAAGCGUGAGUGACGGUAAUGGGUAAAGAAGCACCGGCUAACUACGU